UGCCAGCAGCCGCGGUAAUACGUAAGGGGCAAGCGUUAUCCGGAUUUAUUGGGCAUAAAGCGCGCGUAGGUGGUAUCUUAAGUCAGGUGUUAAAUCCUGUGGCUCAACCAGAGGUUGCGCCUGAAACUGAGAUACUAGAGGACAGUAGAGGGAAGCGGAACUCACGGUGUAGCGGUGGAAUGCGUAGAUAUUGUGAGGAACACCAGUUGCGAAGGCGGCUUCCUGGUCUGCUCCUGACACUGAGGUGCGAAAGCGUGGGGAGCGAACGGGAUUAGAUA
rnacentral:rRNA from 1 species